UGGGGAAUAUUGGACAAUGGGGGAAACCCUGAUCCAGCGAUGCCGCGUGAGUGAAGAAGGCCUUCGGGUUGUAAAGCUCUUUCAGAAGGGAAGAUAAUGACGGUACCUUCAGAAGAAGCACCGGCUAACUUCGUGCCAGCAGCCGCGGUAAUACGAAGGGUGCAAGCGUUGUUCGGAAUUACUGGGCGUAAAGAGCGCGUAGGCGGUCUGCCAAGUCAGACGUGAAAGCCCUGGGCUUAACCCGGGAAUUGCGUUUGAAACUGGCGGACUUGAGUGUCAGAGGGGUGAGUGGAAUUCCUAGUGUAGAGGUGAAAUUCGUAGAUAUUAGGAGGAACACCAGUGGCGAAGGCGACUCACUGGCUGAAUACUGACGCUAAGGCGCGAAAGCGUGGGGAGCAAACAGG
rnacentral:rRNA from 1 species